AUGGAAAGUAGAGGCGCUCUAUCCCCGCCCUCUAUGGUAAGUAGAGGCGCUCUAUCCCCGCCCUCUAUGGUAAGUAGAGGCGCUCUAUCCCCGCCCUCUAUGGUAAGUAGAGGCGCUCUAUCCCCGCCCUCUAUGGAAAGUAGAGGCGCUCUAUCCCCGCCCUCUAUGGUAAGUAGAGGCGCUCUAUCCCCGCCCUCUAUGGAAAGUGGAGGCGCUCUAUCCCCGCCCUCUAUGGAAAGUGGAGGCGCUCUAUCUCCG